GACGAACGCUGGCGGCGUGCUUAACACAUGCCAGUCGAACGGAAAGGCCCUGCUUUUGUGGGGUGCUCGAGUGGCGAACGGGUGAGUAACACGUGAGUAACCUGCCCUUGACUUUGGGAUAACUUCAGGAAACUGGGGCUAAUACCGGAUAGGAGCUCCUGCUGCAUGGUGGGGGUUGGAAAGUUUCGGCGGUUGGGGAUGGACUCGCGGCUUAUCAGCUUGUUGGUGGGGUAGUGGCUUACCAAGGCUUUGACGGGUAGCCGGCCUGAGAGGGUGACCGGCCACAUUGGGACUGAGAUACGGCCCAGACUCCUACGGGAGGCAGCAGUGGGAAUAUUGCACAAUGGGCGGAAGCCUGAUGCAGCAACGCCGCGUGCGGGAUGACGGCCUUCGGGUUGUAAACCGCUUUCGCCUGUGACGAAGCGUGAGUGACGGUAAUGGGUAAAGAAGCACCGGCUAACUACGUG
rnacentral:rRNA from 1 species